AACGAACGCUGGCGGCAGGCUUAACACAUGCAAGUCGAACGCUCGGGCAACCGGGAGUGGCAGACGGGUGAGUAACGCGUGGGAACAUACCCCUUGGUUCGGGAUAGCUCAGGGAAACUUGGAUUAAUACCGGAUACGACCGUGAGGUGAAAGAUUCAUCGCCGAGGGAUUGGCCCGCGUCUGAUUAGCUAGUUGGUGGGGUAACGGCUCACCAAGGCGACGAUCAGUAGCUGGUCUGAGAGGAUGAUCAGCCACAUUGGGACUGAGACACGGCCCA
rnacentral:rRNA from 1 species